GAUGAACGCUGGCGGCGUGCCUAAUACAUGCAAGUCGAGCGAACAGACGAGGAGCUUGCUCCUCUGACGUUAGCGGCGGACGGGUGAGUAACACGUGGAUAACCUACCUAUAAGACUGGGAUAACUUCGGGAAACCGGAGCUAAUAUCGGAUAAUAUAUUGAACCGCAUGGUUCAAUAGUGAAAGACGGUUUUGCUGUCACUUAUAGAUGGAUCCGCGCCGCAUUAGCUAGUUGGUAAGGUAACGGCUUACCAAGGCAACGAUGCGUAGCCGACCUGAGAGGGUGAUCGGCCACACUGGAACUGAGACACGGUCCAGACUCCUACGGGAGGCAGCAGUAGGGAAUCUUCCGCAAUGGGCGAAAGCCUGACGGAGCAACGCCGCGUGAGUGAUGAAGGUCUUCGGAUCGUAAAACUCUGUUAUUAGGGAAGAACAAAUGUGUAAGUAACUAUGCACGUCUUGACGGUACCUAAUCAGAAAGCCACGGCUAACUACGUG
rnacentral:rRNA from 1 species